CAUUUAAAAAUUCAUUCAUUUUUUAUUGUUAAAAUUUGGUGUGACUGAUAGAAUAAUAAAAUAUUUACACUUGGUAUGUCAUGUAUACUUCAUUCCUAUAUAUAAUGACCAAUUUUUAAUAGUAGAACUAAAUGAAAUUUUUACCA
rnacentral:pre_miRNA from 1 species